AGUGAACGCUGGCGGUAGGCCUAACACAUGCAAGUCGAACGGCGGCACAGUAAGAGCUUGCUCUUACGGGUGGCGAGUGGCGGACGGGUGAGGAAUACAUCGGAAUCUACUUUUUCGUGGGGGAUAACGUAGGGAAACUUACGCUAAUACCGCAUACGACCUACGGGUGAAAGCAGGGGAUCUUCGGACCUUGCGCGAUUGAAUGAGCCGAUGUCGGAUUAGCUAGUUGGCGGGGUAAAGGCCCACCAAGGCGACGAUCCGUAGCUGGUCUGAGAGGAUGAUCAGCCACACUGGAACUGAGACACGGUCCAGACUCCUACGGGAGGCAGCAGUGGGGAAUAUUGGACAAUGGGCGCAAGCCUGAUCCAGCCAUACCGCGUGGGUGAAGAAGGCCUGCGGGUUGUAAAGCCCUUUUGUUGGGAAAGAAAAGCAGCAGGUUAAUACCCCGCUGUUCUGACGGUACCCAAAGAAUAAGCACCGGCUAACUUCGU
rnacentral:rRNA from 1 species